rnacentral:misc_RNA from 1 species
UCCUAGUUUCCUAGGCAGUCCCACCAGAGUGCCUUCAAAUAAAUGAAGUAGCAACUGGCGGCAGGGGUUGCGCUCGUUAGAGGACUUAACCUAACAUCUCACGACACGAGCUGACGACAGCCAUGCAGCACCUGUGUACCUGUUCGAGUAAACCCGAAAGAUCAUAUUUCUAUGACUGUCAGGUACAUGUCAAGCCUAGGUAAGGUUCCUCGCGUAGUGUCGAAUUAAACCACAUGUUCCACCGCUUGUGCGGACCCCCGUCAAUUCCUUUGAGUUUUAAUCUUGCGACCGUACUACUCAGGCGGAUCACUUAUCGCGUUAGCUACGACACAGAUCUUGCAAAACAAGACCUACAUCUAGUGAUCAUCGUUUACAGCGUGGACUAC